rnacentral:rRNA from 1 species
GACGAACCGUGCGAACGUUGUUCGGAAUCACUGGGCUUAAAGGGCGCGUAGGUGGUCUGCCAAGUCCGGGGUGAAAGCCCCCAGCUCAACUGGGGAAGUGCCUUGGAUACUGGCGGACUCGAGGGAGGCAGGGGUUGUGGGAACUUCCGGUGGAGCGGUGAAAUGCGUUGAUAUCGGAAGGAACGCCGGUGGCGAAAGCGCACAACUGGUCCUCUUCUGACGCUGAGGCGCGAAAGCCAGGGGAGCAAACGGG